rnacentral:tRNA from 3 species
GGGUCGUUAGCUCAGUUGGUAGAGCAGUUGACUUUUAAUCAAUUGGUCGCAGGUUCGAAUCCUGCACGACCCGCCA